UACGAACAGACGCACAGAAGUUUUGAAAGUGAAGUUACAAAAUUAGCGUAUGACGUUUUUACGCGCUUCUAAAUAAAUUAAGAUUGUGGUAGACAGGUAUUUUCUUAUUUGUAGGUCAAUUUGCAAACAUGAUAUUACUUUUGGUUUUUCUGGUUUUUUUGGGCACAUGAUUGGCACACAGAUUAUCACUAUUGCUUCUGCUACUACCUUACAGUGGAGGCAUAACAUCUUGUACUUGAAAUAAUGUAGUAGAGUUUGGUUCUGUAUUGUGGAUUUUUCUUUGAACUGUGGUCGUGAUUAAGAGGGGCAGUUGUGGCAUUAGUAUUGUGCUGCUAGAAGGGAAAUUCUUAGACUGGUGCAAGUCAACAAAAGCUAAAGUAUGUACCGAGAAUAUUUUCAUUCAUCAAGAAUGUAACUUGGAGGUUCAAGGAUAAUCAAACACAGUCAUAGUUCCAUUCACUGACAAUGUUAACUAUUGAUCCUGCUUUCUAGUACUUCCCUCAAACUAGUGAUCCGAUGUCCGUAUAUACCCAUGAUCCAUUGGCAAGUGUUUGGAUAACCCAACUCUUUGGGCUCUAGGGGGAGUAGAGUUACAAAGCUCAAACCUUACCCUCCAACACCAGAUUUUUA
rnacentral:ncRNA from 1 species